AGUGAACGCUGGCGGUAGGCCUAACACAUGCAAGUCGAACGGCAGCACAGUAAGAGCUUGCCCUUACGGGUGGCGAGUGGCGGACGGGUGAGGAAUACAUCGGAAUCUACUUUUUCGUGGGGGAUAACGUAGGGAAACUUACGCUAAUACCGCAUACGACCUACGGGUGAAAGCAGGGGAUCUUCGGACCUUGCGCGAUUGAAUGAGCCGAUGUCGGAUUAGCUAGUUGGCGGGGUAAAGGCCCACCAAGGCGACGAUCCGUAGCUGGUCUGAGAGGAUGAUCAGCCACACUGGAACUGAGACACGGUCCAGACUCCUACGGGAGGCAGCAGUGGGGAAUAUUGGACAAUGGGCGCAAGCCUGAUCCAGCCAUACCGCGUGGGUGAAGAAGGCCUUCGGGUCGUAAAGCCCUUUUGUUGGGAAAGAAAAGCAGCAGGUUAAUACCCCGCUGUUCUGACGGUACCCAAAGAAUAAGCACCGGCUAACUUCGUG
rnacentral:rRNA from 1 species